CCAAAUGGAUACUCUGGAGGUCACUCUCCCAGGCUCUGUCCAAGUUGUAUCCAGAUGAUAGGACUCUGCUUCAUGAGGUACAGUCCCUUUCCACAAUGUUGGAAAAGAGGCUGGGCCUUACAUCUGGGCCUGCAUAGUCCCAUGACUUCUCAGAGUCCUGUGGGCAAUAACUGAGGAGACAAACCAUGCAGGAAACAAUG
rnacentral:snoRNA from 1 species